rnacentral:rRNA from 1 species
GGGGGGGGGGGGGGGGGGGGGUGGGGGGGGGGGGGCGGGCGAGGGGGCGGGGGGCGUGCUUGUGUGGUGUUGGCGGCUGACGGGUGAGUACCGCGUGGGUCACCUACCUCUACGCCGGGGAUCGCUUCGGGAAACCGGCGCUAGUACCGGAUACUCUUUUGACCCGCCUGGUUCACAAGUGCAAGACGGUCUUGCGGUCACUUAUCGAUGGCUCCGCGCUGCAUGAGCUGGUUGGUCAGGUAACGGCUUACCCAGUCAACGAUGCCUAGCCGACCUGUGAGGGUGGUCGGCCACACUGGAACUGAGACACCGUCCAGACGCCUACGGGAGGCAGCAGUAGGGAAUGUUCCGCAAUGGGCGAAAGCCUGACGGAGCAGCGCCGCGUGAGUGAUGAAGGUCUUCGGAUCGUAAAACUCUGUUAUUAGGGAAGAACAUAUGUGUAAGUAAAUGUGCACAUCUUGACGGUACCUAAUCAGAAAGCAACGGCUAACUACGUG